rnacentral:lncRNA from 1 species
UUAGUUCUACUUCACAAAUUGCGACCAUGAUACAUUACAAGUUUCAUAGAUUUUUGGUUUAAUGAAUGUUCAGCUAAGAAGAAAAUGAAUAAAAUAUCAACAUAUUAAUCUCUACUAUUAAACCACAGUUGGUACGUUAAACGGUACCCACGUAUCCACCACUCGCGUGACCUCCCCACAUCAUCGUUUUUUUCAACCGAACCCAUUUCCCGAUGCAAGGAAAAAAGCCCUACAACACCGACCACCCUUUUCCUUCUCCCUGGUACGACCCCCACAUGCACGAUUGCUCCUACGGCGCCGAUUUUGACCAUGUCUCCCAUGUGAUGUUGCUUUGUCCCGCUCCCUCUGCCAUCCAGACGCACUCCCUUGCCGCCUCUCUGCUUCAAGGUGUGUGCUCUGAAACCGUCACCUCCUUUCUUCAGCCCGUGGCAUCUAUUCUUCAAUGGAUCAUCUCAAUUUUUCGUCCUUCACUGAGUCCGGCGGCGACAACCAAAGAACCAAGUCCCCAUCCAUUUUUUGAGGGCAUGCAAUUAACGAAGGGGAUGUGUGGCCCAUGAGGUUGCUGCCAUCAGCCAUCGAGGCUGCUGAAAUCUAAUGAAAAAGUGCCUACGGUACAGUUCAUUUCCACUCUCAGUUGGUAGAAAUAAUCAAAUUUCAAGCAUACAAAUUCAAAAUGAAAAAGUCUAUUAUGAGCACCAGAAAGAUAGAAAUGAUCCAUUUAUUUCAAUGCAUACUACUACACCUUGGUGCUUAAAGACAAAACUUAGUUGCAAACAGUGCAUUACCUAGGAAGAACAUUUGGUGUACUGAGCAUAACAAUUCAAAAUUAUUCUAUGGCUAUGAAGUGCCUAAAUCUGAGGUUGCAACAUGAAAGCAAGUACUGAUCAAAUUGACAAAUUAUAUGGUUCAUUCGUUCAUAGUGAACACAGAAUUAAAAGAACUGCUAGAACUCAUGGUGGCAUUCUAUAGAAGCAUCAUUCUUCUGCAAGUAUAGUGUUCUUAAGAAAGCAUGGUGUAGCCAAGAGAUCAAGGUGUCAUACAAGCAUUAUUUCACAGCACAAUCUAGGGAAAAAAUCCUUCGUUCUGGAAGAAUGGCAACCCAAGAUGUACCGACGACAAGAUCCACAGUUGCUUUGCAUUACUCCAAAUCAAGAGUUGCGAUAGCAACCUGUUAAUCUGACAUACCUUUAGAUAGAAGCUCAACGACAAUUUCCUUCUGAACCCAUAUUGAGAAAAAUAAGCCAGAUUUGAAUUUUAAUAUCUUUGCCAGCAUUUAUUUUCAACUGUGCAGGCAAAAUAAAACAUGAAUUUCACACCGCAGAAACUACUAAAUGUGAAAUUACAGAAUUUUAGCAUUUGAAUAUGAGAGAAAUGUAAAGCAUUGUAC